AUUGAACGCUGGCGGCAGGCCUAACACAUGCAAGUCGAGCGGAUGAAGGGAGCUUGCUCCUGGAUUCAGCGGCGCACGGGUGAGUAAUGCCUAGGAAUCUGCCUGGUAGUGGGGGAUAACGUCCGGAAACGGGCGCUAAUACUGCCUACGUCCUGAGGGAGCAAGUGGGGGAUCUUCGGACCUCACGCUAUCAGAUGAGCCUAGGUCGGAUUAGCUAGUUGGUGGGGUAAAGGCCUACCAAGGCGACGAUCCGUAACUGGUCUGAGAGGAUGAUCAGUCACACUGGAACUGAGACACGGUCCAGACUCCUACGGGAGGCAGCAGUGGGGAAUAUUGGACAAUGGGCGAAAGCCUGAUCCAGCCAUGCCGCGUGUGUGAAGAAGGUCUUCGGAUUGUAAAGCACUUUAAGUUGGGAGGAAGGGCAGUAAGUUAAUACCUUGCUGUUUUGACGUUACCAACAGAAUAAGCACCGGCUAACUUCGUG
rnacentral:rRNA from 1 species